AUGAAAUUGUUCCUGUGUCAAGUUUACAGGAAAAUGCUUCCAAUGAGAUGGUAUUUUCAGCUUUUCUUUAAUUACUUAAAAUCAUUGCUUUUGCAAUGUUUAACUUCUACAAAAGAAUAAUGUGUUCUUUUAUAGAUUGAUUUGUCCUCAGUGCAAAAAGCAUCUUUUGAAGAACUAUUUCCAAAUGUCAGCAAUUAUGUUAAUUCAAAUGAAAUUGUUCCUGUGUCAAGUUUGCAGGAAAAUUCUUCAAAUGAGUUUCCUGCAAAUGCAUCAGAAAUAUGCUGUAUUAUUAGAGCAUCACCAGGAGGAGCUAGACAAGUAA
rnacentral:lncRNA from 1 species